GACGAACGCUGGCGGCGUGCUUAACACAUGCAAGUCGAACGGAAAGGCCCUGCUUUUGUGGGGUGCUCGAGUGGCGAACGGGUGAGUAACACGUGAGUAACCUGCCCUUGACUUUGGGAUAACUUCAGGAAACUGGGGCUAAUACCGGAUAGGAGCUCCUGCUGCGUGGUGGGGGUUGGAAAGUUUCGGCGGUUGGGGAUGGACUCGCGGCUUAUCAGCUUGUUGGUGGGGUAGUGGCUUACCAAGGCUUUGACGGGUAGCCGGCCUGAGAGGGUGAACGGCCACAUUGGGACUGAGAUACGGCCCAGACUCCUACGGGAGGCAGCAGUGGGGAAUAUUGCACAAUGGGCGGAAGCCUGAUGCAGCAACGCCGCGUGCGGGAUGACGGCCUUCGGGUUGUAAACCGCUUUCGCCUGUGACGAAGCGUGAGUGACGGUAAUGGGUAAAGAAGCACCGGCUAACUACGUG
rnacentral:rRNA from 1 species